GAUGAACGCUGGCGGCGUGCCUAAUACAUGCAAGUCGAGCGAACAGACGAGGAGCUUGCUCCUCUGACGUUAGCGGCGGACGGGUGAGUAACACGUGGAUAACCUACCUAUAAGACUGGGAUAACUUCGGGAAACCGGAGCUAAUACCGGAUAAUAUAUUGAACCGCAUGGUUCAAUAGUGAAAUACGGUUUUGCUGUCACUUAUAGAUGGAUCCGCGCCGCAUUAGCUAGUUGGUAAGGUAACGGCUUACCAAGGCAACGAUGGGUAGCCGACCUGAGAGGGUGAGCGGCCACACUGGAACUGAGACACGUUCCAGACUCCUACGGGAGGCAGCAGUAGGGAAUCUUCCGCAAUGGGCGAAAGCCUGACGGAGCAACGCCGCGUGAGUGAUGAAGGUCUUCGGAUCGUAAAACUCUGUUAUUAGGGAAGAACAAAUGUGUAAGUAACUAUGCACGUCUUGACGGUACCUAAUCAGAAAGCCACGGCUAACUACGUG
rnacentral:rRNA from 1 species